rnacentral:lncRNA from 1 species
CAACUAAUUGUGAUGACUUCCAAAUCCUGUGCCUCAUCUCCAGUCCUCUGUUUGUACUUUUCUGGGAAAACAACUGGAAUGAAGGAUAUCUCUGGAAUAAGCUAGAAACUUAGUGCAAUGGAAACUCCCAGAAUCUAUGAGGAUGACUUCUAGCUAAGACUCCUAGCAAUGGGUGAUAAGGAGCCUGAACCAGCCAUCUUGUGAACCAGGAAUUGUGACCUUACGAGAGAAAAAUGCAUGAUGCCAUGAACACGGUGGUUGACACACAGUUAUGGUUUGGGCUGCCUUUGUUUCACUUGUUCCUGACCUCGUGUAUUCUUGUACAUCAGUGGAAAUGACUGUGGUUUCAACUGUGAAGUUCAAUGGCUGGAGAGAUGGCUCACCACUUGCUGCCCUUGAAGAUGACCUGGACUCCAUUCCCGGCACCCACACGGCACCUCACAGCCACAUGGGACUCCAUUCUCAGAGGAUCCAACACUGUCUUCUGGUGGCAAUUCAUUGUGAUAAAAAUCCCUCUUGAAUCCUAAGAGACUGGAACUUUUGUUGGACUCUCAACCCGAGUUAAUAAUACAUCUUGAGGUUGCUAAGGACUGAGAACUACUAUCCUGCUGGGUACUCA